rnacentral:lncRNA from 1 species
GAUACUACAGACUCACGAUUAAAAUCGCUGUGGUAAAUCGACCUAUGACUGGUGGUAUAUGGGAUGCAAAGUUUGCUGGAAGAAGCUGAAAAUGGCGCAUUGAAAUGUCCUACAUGUUCCAAUCCAGAACCAUGACCAAGGUAUUUUUUACCCAUGUUACAUCUCAAUUGGUAACUGUGUCACAAGCAAACAAUUCACCACAAUUCCAUCAUGUAAAUAGGUACAAAAUAGCAGUGCUUGCAAUAGACAUGGAACAUGAGGAGGAACCAAACCCAGUAUUCACAGAGUUUGCCUUUUUUAGAGCAUGAGGUGUUAUAAUCACUGGAAGAAGCGCAAACUCGGCUGUAGCUCAUGGAAAAGGACGAGUUGGUUACCUGGCACUGGAAAUAGAGGAACUUUCUGGAACAAAAAUAUUGUGAGCGGUCACUCCAAAUAGUAGAUCCCUGGGCUGAUUUUUAUUAGUAUUUCCAAGUGCAAGCAACAGAUCAUGUGCAAAGUGAGGCACCAUUAACUCGGCAUCGAAUGGUUAAUCCGCCAUCUGCAUCGGACGUUCCACGGUCUUCGUGUUCCACCCAACACCAGGCAACACAACUGUCAAGAAUGUGCUGCCGGCUCCAGCAUCUCCUGACUACUGUAUGAGGGUGUGUCAUUGGAACCAAAAACAAAAAGGCAAGCAGUCCGACGAUCCACCCAUGGGCCAAGCAAAAGAAAAGGUCAGCACGAUUUUAUUGCAGCAAAUUAAAGAAUGGCUGAAUGUUCAGACCAAUGAUACAAUAUUGUUUAACUAUAUGUAGAUGUGCCGCUAAAGAGUCUUUUCCUUUAAAGAGCCACGAGGAAGAGGAAGCUAAUCUUUAGAAGUAGAACAUGUCAGAAGCCUACCGUGUCAAAAUAAUCAUAGGUGCUACUGUUUGUUCAUCGUCUAAGCGUUCUUUCCUUUUGAACUAAGUACCUUGUGGUUUCAUAGCUUUUGAAUUGAUGUCCUUUCAGCUGUAAUGAUAUCCAUCUGCUCACGUAUCAACUUAGUACAUCUAUUAUUCAUCCACUAGCACAUAUGCCUGUGCGUUGCAACGGGAGAUAAUUAGUAUGCAUUUAAAGUCAGUGGGAAUUAUAUGUGCAAGCAAAAUCCUGUGUGCACAUGAAAAACGAACAUUUAGCUUCUCGGUUUCGCCGUGUCUGAAGGAAUCAAUCCACUUUUUUUAUAUUCAUUCAUUGAGGGUAUUUAAGAGUUUUGUUACGUCAUCGUAUGCCACAGAAGGCCCAUGAGUUAUUUAAUCCACCCUUCCUUUCAAUCGAGGAUUUUAACGUAUGAAACUUCUAAAUAUUCUAGGAAACAUAAACAAUUUUUUCAAUCCCGAAGAGUUUUUUGAAAAUUAUGUACACUUUUGAAAAAACACGAACGAAAUAUGAAAGGGAACAUUUUUUAAAAUUCACAAACAUUUUCUGAAAACACCAACUUUUUNNNNNNNNNNNNNNNNNNNNNNNNNNNNNNNNNNNNNNNNNNNNNNNNNNNNNNNNNNNNNNNNNNNNNNNNNNNNNNNNNNNNNNNNNNNNNNNNNNNNUUUCAGUAGUACACAUGGAUUCAAAUAUUUCAAAAAUAAUUUCAAAACAUUGUUUAAUUGAAUUCAAGUGAAUAUUUUGGCCUUUUGGCAAAUGUAAACCGAUAUAACUGGAACUCGUUGAAUUUCAGUUGGUGCUGAAUGUUUUUCUGAAACUGAAAGUGAAAACCUUGUCUAGCAUUGUGGCACAUCAUAUGAAUGAUUUUGUGUAUUGUUUUACUUGGUGGACUUCCUGGUGUUGCCUGCUGAAGCUACAUGGCUAUGUCCUGCAGCACAAUGCUUGGAACAAUUGUAAAAGGUCACUGCCAUUGUAUACACAAAUUUAUUCCCAUAUUCUGGACAUAUAAAGUACAGUGGCAUCAUUUCAUGAAUGUGGAACCAGAUUGCCCCAAACUGAUUUUUUCAUAAAUUUUAAUUUAUUGGUGUAAAAUAUGGAGUGCGUCAUUACUUUGUAAUAUCAGGUUUGUUCAUAUAAAUAUCUGACUCUGAUUUUACUUUGCCUUGCCAUUUCAACCUGUCUAGGCUGUGGAGCUCUAGAUGUAGAAGCUCCCCUACGCCCACCCUUUUAGGCGCAGCCGCUUGCCGCUGCAAACAUCAAUGAUUCCAGUGAUGACCAACUAUUUGGUGAAAUGUCAGAACAGCCGAAGGUUUAUUUUCCUUCCAAUCGGUCUGGAUAGACUGCGAUGUUAUUUUCCCAGAUUUGUGGUCUUCCAAAAACAACAGACUGUUCCUUAAACAGAUCAAAAGCAACUCCACAGCCAGGCUAAAUUUCUUAAGGAAUUUUAGUCGUAAACUACAUGUCGUGGUAAUUAGUUAUGUACUCUCUUUAUUUGGUUUAUCUUGGUCACAAUAUGUAGUGUUAGGUCUAGAAAGAUAUAUUGUAAGGGUGAGCAGUUUAUUGAAUGAUGAUGAUAUUCUCUUUUUUACAUAAAUUUGAGAUUUUUAUUAUGGUAAACAGAUCUCGUUUAUGAUGAAAGGUGAGAAUUUUACCAAUGGGUGAUGAAGAAACAUGCUUUACCAUAUCCUCUAAUCAGUUCUGGAGAUAUUGCUAUGCUCCAAAAGGAAGCUCCUGUCCUGGGCUACAACUUACUGGCACAUCCAGUUGAUGGUAAGCAUUAUUCAGUAAUGUUUACAGGGCAUAAUAUUUAGAUAGAUGGAUAAAUCUAAUUGUCACCACUCACCAAGUAUAGUCUUGUGAUUCUUCAAAAGCCAAAUGAUCUUUUCUGUGACCUUUGAAGCUCAGUUCCUGUCUUCGCAUCUCAGUUCAACGCUUAUGCGCUGAUCUACAUUGAUUACAGUUUUACUUGAUGAAUUAUAUUUGCAGUGUGAUCAAAAUAUAGAUAUAAUCAUACUGUUUGUGAUUUGUCUUCCUUCCUCAAAUAUGGAUCCUUGCAAAUACUUGGUCAUUAGAUGUUGUCUCUAUAGUUAUUUUUCUGUUCGAUGGAAUAAUUAGGGUACUAAAACAUUGAUUUCACUUAAAAUCCCUUGGCAUCUAUUUCCAUUCUGCCACAUCCAUUAACCGACUGCCGUAUAUUACAAUUGCACAAGGUUAGGGGUAUGCCUCAUCAAAUCGAGUUACGAAAUGCAGGGCAGGGUGACAGGAACCAACUGAAACAACUAAUAAAAACAUGACCAGUUUAGAACCUACUGACACCAUGGUAUUAACACAAGUACUUAUUACCAUUGUUGCACCUAUGCAUGCUUUUAAGUAUUAACCUCAACAUAUGUUUUGACCCUUCUACAGAACUGAUACUACAAACUCACGAUUAAAAUCGCUGUGGUAAAUCGACCUAUGACUGGUGGUAUAUGGGAUGCAAAGUUUGCUGGAAGAAGCUGAAAAUGGCACAUUGAAAUGUCCUACAUGUUCCAAUCCAGAACCAUGACCAAGGUAUUUUUUACCCAUGUUACAUCUCAAUUGGUAACUGUGUCACAAGCAAACAAUUCACCACAAUUCCAUCAUGUAAAUAGGUACAAAAUAGCAGUGCUUGCAAUAGACAUGGAACAUGAGGAGGAACCAAACCCAGUAUUCACAGAGUUUGCCUUUUUUAGAGCAUGAGGUGUUAUAAUCACUGGAAGAAGCGCAAACUCGGCUGUAGCUCAUGGAAAAGGACGAGUUGGUUACCUGGCACUGGAAAUAGAGGAACUUUCUGGAACAAAAAUAUUGUGAGCGGUCACUCCAAAUAGUAGAUCCCUGGGCUGAUUUUUAUUAGUAUUUCCAAGUGCAAGCAACAGAUCAUGUGCAAAGUGAGGCACCAUUAACUCGGCAUCGAAUGGUUAAUCCGCCAUCUGCAUCGGACGUUCCACGGUCUUCGUGUUCCACCCAACACCAGGCAACACAACUGUCAAGAAUGUGCUGCCGGCUCCAGCAUCUCCUGACUACUGUAUGAGGGUGUGUCAUUGGAACCAAAAACAAAAAGGCAAGCAGUCCGACGAUCCACCCAUGGGCCAAGCAAAAGAAAAGGUCAGCACGAUUUUAUUGCAGCAAAUUAAAGAAUGGCUGAAUGUUCAGACCAAUGAUACAAUAUUGUUUAACUAUAUGUAGAUGUGCCGCUAAAGAGUCUUUUCCUUUAAAGAGCCACGAGGAAGAGGAAGCUAAUCUUUAGAAGUAGAACAUGUCAGAAGCCUACCGUGUCAAAAUAAUCAUAGGUGCUACUGUUUGUUCAUCGUCUAAGCGUUCUUUCCUUUUGAACUAAGUACCUUGUGGUUUCAUAGCUUUUGAAUUGAUGUCCUUUCAGCUGUAAUGAUAUCCAUCUGCUCACGUAUCAACUUAGUACAUCUAUUAUUCAUCCACUAGCACAUAUGCCUGUGCGUUGCAACGGGAGAUAAUUAGUAUGCAUUUAAAGUCAGUGGGAAUUAUAUGUGCAAGCAAAAUCCUGUGUGCACAUGAAAAACGAACAUUUAGCUUCUCGGUUUCGCCGUGUCUGAAGGAAUCAAUCCACUUUUUUUAUAUUCAUUCAUUGAGGGUAUUUAAGAGUUUUGUUACGUCAUCGUAUGCCACAGAAGGCCCAUGAGUUAUUUAAUCCACCCUUCCUUUCAAUCGAGGAUUUUAACGUAUGAAACUUCUAAAUAUUCUAGGAAACAUAAACAAUUUUUUCAAUCCCGAAGAGUUUUUUGAAAAUUAUGUACACUUUUGAAAAAACACGAACGAAAUAUGAAAGGGAACAUUUUUUAAAAUUCACAAACAUUUUCUGAAAACACCAACUUUUUNNNNNNNNNNNNNNNNNNNNNNNNNNNNNNNNNNNNNNNNNNNNNNNNNNNNNNNNNNNNNNNNNNNNNNNNNNNNNNNNNNNNNNNNNNNNNNNNNNNNUGAAUUCCUGAUAAUUUGAAAGAGAUUGUCCGUUUUGUACACGAAGUGCAUCGAGUUUUUGCCGUAACCCUCUCAACUUUCUUGCACAUGCUAUGUGGAUGGAAUGAUGAUACCAUGCCACCUUUCAACCUUUUCAGAGUUCAUUUGAAAUGCUUUUUAAUUUUAGGGUCUUAUAGCUCAAAAUAAUUAUUAAAUGCAUGAAAAAUAACAAAUGAAGUCAGAAAGGAUUGAAAAAUGAUGAUGUGGCUUUGAAUGGUGCAUUUUGAACACACAAAAAGUCAGGAGUUCAAAUAAGUUUUAAUAAACGAAAUCCCUUUGUAACACACGAGUUUCCGUAUGAAAUCCUGAUACUUUGAAAGAGAUUGUCCGUUUUGUACACGAAGUGCAUCCAGUUUUCGCCGUAACCCUCUCAACUUUCUUGCACAUGCUAUGUGGAUGAAAUGAUGAUACCAUGCCAACUUUCAACCUUUUAAGAGUUCAUUUGAAAUGCUUUUCAAUCUUAGCGUCUUAUAGCUCAAAAUAAUUAGUAAAUGCAUGAAAAAUAACAAAUGAAGUCAGAAAGCAUUGAAAAAUGAUGAUGUGGCUUUGAAUGGUUCAUUUUGAACACACAAAACGUCAGGAGUUCAAAUAAGUUUAAAAAAAUGAAAUCCCUUUGUAACAGCGAGUUCCGUAUGAAUUCCUGAUACUUUGAAAGAGAUUGUCCGUUUUGUACAUGAAGUGCAUCCAGUUUUUGCCGUAACCCUCUCAACUUUCUUGCACAUGCUAUGUGGAUGGAAUGAUGAUACCAUGCCACCUUUCGACCUUUUCAGAGUUCAUUUGAAAUGCUUUUCAAUUUUAGGGUCUUAUAGCUCAAAAUAAUUAGUAAAUGCAUGAAAAAUAACAAAUGAAGUCAGAAAGGAUUGAAAAAUGAUGAUGUGGCUUUGAAUGGUGCAUUUUGAACACACAAAAAGUCAGGAGUUCAAAUAAGUUUUAAAAAACGAAAUCCCUUUGUAACAGACGAGUUUCCGUAUGAAAUCCUGAUACUUUGAAAGAGAUUGUCCGUUUUGUACACGAAGUGCAUCCAGUUUUUGCCGUAACCCUCUCAACUUUGUUGCACGUGCUAUGUGGAUGGAAUGAUGAUACCAUGCCAACUUUCAACCUUUUCAGAGUUCAUUUGAAAUGCUUUUCAAUUUUAGGGUCUUAUAGCUCAAAAUAAUUAGUAAAUGCAUGAAAAAUAACAAAUGAAGUCAGAAAGGAUUGAAAAAUGAUGAUGUGGCUUUGAAUGGUGCAUUUUGAACACACAAAACGUCAGGAGUUCAAAUAAGUUUUAAAAAAUGAAAUCCCUUUGUAAUAGCGAGUUCCGUAUGAAUUCCUGAUAAUUUGAAAGAGAUUGUCCGUUUUGUACACGAAGUGCAUCGAGUUUUUGCCGUAACCCUCUCAACUUUCUUGCACAUGCUAUGUGGAUGGAAUGAUGAUACCAUGCCACCUUUCAACCUUUUCAGAGUUCAUUUGAAAUGCUUUUCAAUUUUAGGGUCUUAUAGCUCAAAAUAAUUAGUAAAUGCAUGAAAAAUAACAAAUGAAGUCAGAAAGGAUUGAAAAAUGAUGAUGUGGCUUUGAAUGGUGCAUUUUGAACACACAAAAAGUCAGGAGUUCAAAUAAGUUUUAAAAAACGAUAUCCCUUUGUAACAGACGAGUUUCCGUAUGAAAUCCUGAUACUUUGAAAGAGAUUGUCCGUUUUGUACACGAAGUGCAUCCAGUUUUCGCCGUAACCCUCUCAACUUUCUUGCACAUGCUAUGUGGAUGAAAUGAUGAUACCAUGCCAACUUUCAACCUUUUAAGAGUUCAUUUGAAAUGCUUUUCAAUCUUAGCGUCUUAUAGCUCAAAAUAAUUACUAAAUGCAUGAAAAAUAACAAAUGAAGUCAGAAAGCAUUGAAAAAUGAUGAUGUGGCUUUGAAUGGUGCAUUUUGAACACACAAAAUGUCAGGAGUUCAAAUAAGUUUUAAAAAAUGAAAUCCCUUUGUAACAGCGAGUUCCGUAUGAAUUCCUGAUACUUUGAAAGAGAUUGUCCGUUUUGUACACGAAGUGCAUCCAGUUUUUGCCGUAACCCUCUCAACUUUCUUGCACAUGCUAUGUGGAUGGAAUGAUGAUACCAUGCCACCUUUCAACAUUUUCAGAGUUCAUUUGAAAUGCUUUUCAAUUUUAGGGUCUUAUAGCUCAAAAUAAUUAGUAAAUGCAUGAAAAAUAACUAAUGAAGUCAGAAAGGAUUGAAAAAUGAUGAUGUGGCUUUGAAUGGUGCAUUUUGAACACACAAAAAGUCAGGAGUUCAAAUAAGUUUUACAAAACGAAAUCCCUUUGCAACAGACGAGUUUCCAUAUGAAAUCCUGAUACUUUGAAAGAGAUUGUCCGUUUUGUACACGAAGUGCAUCCAGUUUUUGCCGUAACCCUCUCAACUUUCUUGCACAUGCUAUGUGGAUGAAAUGAUGAUACCGUGCCAACUUUCAACCUUUUAAGAAUUCAUUUGAAAUGCUUUUCAAUUUUAGGGUCUUAUAACUCAAAAUAAUUAGUAAAUGCAUGAAAAAUAACAAAUGAAGUCAGAAAUGAUUGAAAAAUGAUGAUGUGGCUUUGAAUGGUGCAUUUUGAACACACAAAAAGUCAGGAGUUCAAAUAAGUUUUAAAAAACGAAAUCCCUUUGUAACAGACGAGUUUCCGUAUGAAAUCCUGAUACUUUGAAAGAGAUUGUCCGUUUUGUACACGAAGUGCAUCCAGUUUUUGCCGUAACCCUCUCAACUUUCUUACACAUGCUAUGUGGAUGGAAUGAUGAUACCAUGCGAACUUUCAACCUUUUCAGAGUUCAUUUGAAAUGCUUUUCAAUUUUAGGGUCUUAUAGCUCAAAAUAAUUAGUAAAUGCAUGAAAAAUAAUAAAUGAAGUCAGAAAGGAUUGAAAAAUGAUGAUGUGGCUUUGAAUGGUGCAUUUUGAACACACAAAAAGUCAGGAGUUCAAAUAAGUUUUAAAAAAUGAAAUCCCUUUGUAACAGCGAGUUCCGUAUGAAUUCCUGAUACUUUGAAAGAGAUUCUCCGUUUUGUACAUGAAGUGCAUCCAGUUUUUGCCGUAACCCUCUCAACUUUCUUGCACAUGCUAUGUGGAUGGAAUGAUGAUACCAUGCCACCUUUCAACCUUUUCAGAGUUCAUUUGAAAUGCUUUUCAAUUUUAGGGUCUAAUAGCUCNNNNNNNNNNNNNNNNNNNNNNNNNNNNNNNNNNNNNNNNNNNNNNNNNNNNNNNNNNNNNNNNNNNNNNNNNNNNNNNNNNNNNNNNNNNNNNNNNNNNGGGGGGGGGGUAGAGUUUGAAAAUGGGUCCUUUAGUAUCGGUUUGUGUCUCCAACAGGGACCAUAGAUCAGACCCCUUUAGUCUCGGUUCGUGGAACAAACCGGUACUAAAGGUUAGCCCUGUAGUACCGGUUUGUGCCACGAACCAGGACUAAAGGGGCUCGUGGGGCCCCGGCUUGAUGCCAGCCUGUCACCACCCCUUAGUAGCGGUUCGUGGCAUGAACCAGUACUAAAGGUUCAACACGAACCAGCAUUAAUGCAUAGCUGUUCGAACCGGAACUAAUGGUACCAUUAGUACUGGGCCAAAAUUGAACCGAGACUAACGUGUCUCACAUUAGGUCCUUUUUCUACUAGUGUAUAACCUUCCUCCUUGGCUGUGCAUGAAGCGGAAGUUCAUUAUGAUGCCAGUUCUCAUCCAAGGCCCUAAGCAACACGGCAACGGCAUUGAUGUGUACCUCAGGCCAUUAGUUGAAAACUGUGUACGUGGGACGAGCACAAACAGGAGGAAUUUGACCUGCAUGCACUACUAGGGAAAAGCCUAGCAGCAGAGCGGGUUUUGGGCCUAUCAGUAGCGCGGGGAGGAGCGCUACUGAUAAGGCGCUACAGCUAAUGCUUAGCAAUAGCGCGUCUGGACCCACGCUACUGCUAUGUUGUAUUCAUACACCUUUACACAAGUUUUCAUACAACAUGAAUUUAGAGAUUGCUUUUACAUCAUAAUGAGUUAUUACAUCAUGGGGUGAAAGAACCGUGGACUUGUUUCAAGUGGAUGUCCAUCCACUUGAAACUAAUCCACGGUUCUUUCACCCCAUGAUAUAAUAAUAUCAUCAUCAUCGUCAUAUCAUUAACAACUUAUCAUCAUAAUACAUCAUUGUCAUAUAACACCUCCUCAAGAUCAUCGUUUUCAUCAUUGACAUCACAUAACACCUCCUCAAUAUCAUCAUUAUCAACUCUAACACAUUACCACAUAAUAAACAUAUUGUACCUCAUAGGACCUAUUACAUUCGAUUAAGACCUACUACAUUUUCUAAGGUAAAAUAGCAAAAAACAAGAUAGCCCCUGACUCUCCAUUAUGGAAAAUGGAGAUUAGCCUGUCUCCAAUUCAUAUCAUGCAGAGACAUCAGAUGAGGCACACAAUCCAUCGGGAGUUUCUGUUGAAAAACAUAAUAAUAACUUCGUAGUUAGCAAUGAUGUACUAGUUUUAGAAGUAUGCAAAAGAUGCACGGAUGUCGUAAUAGUAAAAAAUCUUACCAGGGUAUCUCCAGAGAAGUUAUCGUGGUUCAACACAUGCACUAGUGGCACGUAUUCACCAUAAUUUGGAGGAGUUCGAUAAUAGUCAUUGUAAUUCUCAAGAAGAGUACAAAAUGCGAUCAGAUGAUUUUUCUCCUUAUACGUUAAUUCGGUGCCAUCGGUGUAGUGGGUUUUAUCUACCAUCUUCCGCACAGUCUUUGAAGAAUCAAAAUAAGCUGUCAAUGGAAAUAAGCUAUCAACUAUUUUGAAAUAAACAAUAUAAAUUAGUUAAUAACUAUGUUUGAGAAACUCACAUAGCGGUACAAUCGGAAGCGUAUCAACAAGGCCCCAAAUGUCCAUAUUGUUUUCCUUGCUGUCAGGAUCACCAAGAUCCAUGGUGAGAAUCAUACCCUCAUAAAAACCAUACAUUUUGCAAAGUGCUUCCCAAUUUUGGCAACCAAAAUGGGUUACGCUCUGAGCAUUGCACAGAUUUACUUCAAAAUCCAUAUCAUGAUGGGUCCUUAGGUGUAUUUUCUUUGUUUCGAAAUUUUCAUGGUCUUCAAAACCCAUCCUCUCCAAGAUAUAGCAUCUUGCAUGGCAUGACAUAAGCUAGUCGAAUUGUAAAAUAUGAAAAUUAGACGUUGAAAUAGUUGAAGUCAUGCUUAAUUACGAAAAAAACACUUGUCGUUGUUGCGUACCGUUUCACAAUCGAAGGUCUCCUCGAGCUUAAUGCUGAAGCGUCGAUCUUCGUCCAGCCGAACGAACCUGUCGCACAUACCUCGAUCGUCGUGGCACCAGCUACACUCCCCCGGGAGACCAUCGUCGUCCGAGUACGACAUUUCCUACAAUCAUAAUUCAAAGAUUAAACUUGUACAUAUUCUAGCACAAGUCAUGCCAGAAUUCACGACAAAAUCCGGCAUGACCUUUGCUAAAAAAGGACAUAUCGAGCGCCUGAAAUUUGCCGGAACGGAAAUUAAUCAACACUCCGGCAAAACAUAGGCCACUCGGAGAUGUAAACUGAACAUGAACGGCCACUUGGGCAACCACAUAUCCUAUUUGAGCAACAACACAAGAUAUACAAGGAUAUUUGGCUGGUCUCACCUCGAUGUCGGAGGGGGUGGGUGACUGGGACGACGGCGGGUAUGUCGGAGGGGGUCGAUGAUGGGACGACGGUGGUCACCUGAAACCAUAUAAGUUAUCACUAAUACAUCCCGAAUAAUUGCUUAAACUAAAAAAUAACAAGAAAUAUGACAUGUUCAACUAGUUUUAUUUAUUCAACUAGUUCUUACUAAAUAUAAACUUACUAUAAAUAGAAAAAAACUAGUUCUUUCUAAAAAUAAAGUAGUUCAACUAGUUAGAUUAAUUAUUUUACUAAAAAUACAUUAUUUCUAUUAAUUCAACUAGUUCAACUAGUUUAUUAAUUUACUUACUAAACUAGUUCAACUACAACUAAAGUAGUUCAACUACCACUACUACUACUAAAAAUCUAGUACUAACUAAGUAACAUCUAGUACUAGCUCUGAACCCUAAAUUAACAUCUACUACUACUAAAUCUAGUACUAACUAGUGGCAAGGGGUGGGGGCGACGGAGAGGUAGCUAGGGGCGGCGAGGUCGAGGGCGGUGGGAGGAGGGCUGCCGGCGGAGGAGGGAGGAGGGGCGGCCGCAGGUGGAGGGAGGAGGGCGGCGGCAGAGGAGGGAGGGGCGGCCGCAGGCGGAGGGAGGAUGUGCGAGGAGGAGGGAGGAGGGACGGAAGGAGGGGAGUACCUCGGCGGCGGACGGACGAAGGCGGCGGCGGCGGCGACGCACGACGACGGUUACGCGGGCGAGAGUGAGAGUGUGAGUGAGAGGGUCGGUCGUGCGCGUGGGGAUAAGGUAGGGAUAGUUGUAGCGUGUUUGCCAAAACACGCUACAGCUAAUCUGAAUAGCAGUAGCGCUGUUUAGUAUAGUGCUCUACUGCUAUAACUAGCGGGGGGGGGGNNNNNNNNNNNNNNNNNNNNNNNNNNNNNNNNNNNNNNNNNNNNNNNNNNNNNNNNNNNNNNNNNNNNNNNNNNNNNNNNNNNNNNNNNNNNNNNNNNNNCGUCCACUUCUACCGCCGACCAGAAACCGCCGGAGACGACUUCUUCGACGUGACCAGGUUGAAAACGGCGUUGAGCAAGGCGCUUGUGCCCUUCUACCCCCUGGCCGGCCGCUUGAGGGCGGGCGCAGACGGCACGUUGGAGAUCGACUGCAACGGCAAGGGCACGCUCUUCCUCAUGGCUCACUCUCGUCUCACCAUGGAUGACUUCAGCGAUUUCAAGCCAUCAACGAAGCAGAGGAGGCUGUUUGUUCCUCACGUCAGCGACUCAGAUGACCUCUUAUGGGCAACCCAGGUCCGUUUGAUUCCUAUCUAGUCCUUUCUAUCCAAAUCAAUUACUAACUACACCUACAAUUAACAGAAGUAAUAUGUAGGAGGGUACUAUUCAGAAGCAAUUAGUAGUAUGUAAAACAAAUUAAUCCAUAUAUGUAUGUAGGUGACAUUCUUAAAGUGGGGUGGGGUGGUCUUAGGGUCGGCAAUCCAUCAUGCUGCUAUGGACGGAUCUGCUGUAUUCCACUUCUUAAGGACAUGGUCAGCUUUCUCCAGGGACGGCGACCGGGCUAUGGUGAACCUCCCCUGCCAUGACCGCUCGCGCUUGUGUGCGCGUGAUCCACCUGUUGUUCAUCCCGACGCACUUUCCAUUUUUAGCCCCAAGAUAAACCUACCGCCGCAGCCAGGGCCACUCGUCAACGAGGUUGUGGCCUUCACCCUUGGCAAGGACCAACUUUCCACUCUAAAGCACAUAUCUGGUGGUGAUAGCGUGAGCACGUUUAGCGCCGUGAGCGCCCACCUGUGGCAAUGCAUGUGUUUAGCCCGGCAGCUACCCCCGGAUGCUGCGACACAACUUAUGUUCUCGGCCAACGUCCGCCGCAUCAUGAGGCCACCACUCCCAGACGGCUACUUCGGCAACGCGAUAAUAAACCUAAGUGUCGGCGACAACGUGCAUGCCAUCACCUCGCGCGAGCUGAGCUACAUCGCGCAGCGAAUCAGAGACACCCACAGACGGGUGAACGACGAGCUAGUGCAUUCGGCAAUCGACUACCUCGAGCUAGCAAAGAGGGACGACGAGCGCCCGGCUACAGGCAAUUUGCCGGUGACUGUCAUUAGAGUUGUCAGCUGGCUUGGCAUGCCGUCAUACGAUGCGGAUUUCAGCUGGGGGAGGCCAUUGGCUAUGUUCCGUGCUGAACCAAACCGCGGAGGUUUUGUGCACCUGAUUGACAGCGCACAGGGUGAUGGCAGUGUGCGCAUCAUCAUGUCUAUAGAGGCUGCAAUUCUCAGCGAGUUGAAGCGUUUGUUGUAUGCCAAAUUCGACAACAUGUUGUAUUCUAAGUUUUAACCUGCAUGUACCAGGUGUGUUCGAGUCAUGGAUGUUCGAUAAUUGUACCCUGUUAGGUGUUUGUACACCAAGAAAUAAUCUUAAGCAGCUUACACUAGGCUUAUACAAUUGAAUUCAAUCCUUCUGGUCUCAGCUUCAGAGUACAGUAGUUGCUCGUGGAAUGCACGAUUAUUUUUACUGGGAUGAAGAUAAUUACUGCAAAUGGGAUGGUUUACGUGCUCAAGCACUCUUGGGUUAUUUAUUUUUAGUCCCUGUGCUCUGUCUGUGUUGGUGCUCACUCUACCCGGUCACCUUCAGCCAUGGCAGCGAAAGUUAAUUGAUUUGAAUCCAUCUAUAUACUGGGAUGGGAGGAAGCUUGCUGAGCUCGGCGAGGGAGUAAUUUUUAGUUGUAACAAUGUAAGUAAUGCGACGCGGUCACUCUGCAUACAGGUCCAGAUGUUCCCAGGUGUGAUCAAGAAAUCAUUUAAAAUAACUGAAAACUUUAUAAAAUUUAUGAUUUUUUUAUGGUGCUAGAUGAUCGAAUGCGUGAUGCCCGUGUAACUGAAAACUUUAUAAAAUUAUGAUUUUUUUAUGGUGCAAGAUGAUCGAAUGCAUGAUGCCCGUGCCAAAUUUGGUGGAGUUUGGACAUUCGAGGAACUCAUGGCAAAAAGGAAAAAAUCAGGUCUGUGAGAAAGUUUGAAAAAGCGCAGUUUUCAUAGCUGAUUUUGUCCAUUUUGGCGCGAGCUCCACGAAUGUCGUUUAUCCAUGAAUUUUUGCACGCACCUAGAGGUCCACCUUUAGUCCCGGCCGGCGACACACCGAGGAAAGCGCUGCGGCUCUCACCACUCGACCUCAUGCUAGCCAACAGAGGUCUCACUCCAGUCGUCCGCUUCUACCGGCGGCAUACCACCGACGACGCCUUCUUUGAUGUGACCAAGUUGAAGACAGCGUUAGGCAAGGCCCUCGUUGCCUUCUAGCCUAUGGCCGGCCGCCUCAGGGCUGACGCCCAUGGCAGGCUAGAGAUCGACUGCAAACAGCAAGGAUGUGCUCUUCGUCGUCACGCACUCUCGUCUUACCAUUGUUGACCUCAGCGACUUCAAGCCAUCACCAAGGCUAAGGAGGUUGUUUGUUCCCCACGUCGAUGACCCAGCCUAUAUCGUGUGGGCCACCCAGGCAGGGUCGGCCCUGUGUUUCAGAAGGCCCUAGGGUGAACUCGACCCCUAAGUUCUAAGACCAUAUAUAUGUAUGUGUGUGCAUGAUACACAAACAUAUGUAUCUUUAGUUUGAGAUUUGAUACAUAAACAUAUAUAACUUCAUUUGCAUAACAUUACAACUAAACUUUCAACCACAAAUCUUUAGUUUGAGAUUUGACUAUAAUAAUUAUUGAAAUGUCAUAUUACAAUAGAAAGACUAAAAAGACGGGAAAAUGAAGCUAACUUGACAUGAUUACCUUAAAUGCGAACCAAAUUCGACUAACUUCAAAAUUUUAUACAUCGGACAAUCAGAACUCUAGACACAUACACAUAAUGACAAAAAAUUAAGAUGGUUGAAUACAUAUUGUGAAAGAUUGAAUUUGAAAAAAGUAUACAUAAAAAAUUUGAAACUUUGUGCACACUGAAACUGAAGAGAUAUUCUGAUACUAGUAGAAAAGGGGGCUUUGGUCCAGGCGGGUAACCCCAUUAGUCCCGGUUCAGUCCAGAACCGGGACCAAUGGGUGCAUUUAUCCCGGUUCGUGCGGCUAAGGCAUUAGUCCCGGUUCACCUGGGCCCUUUAGUCCCGGUUCGUGCCACGAACCGGGACUAAAGGGUGUGACGCCCAUUAGUCCCGGUUGCCAUUAGUACCGGUUCAUGUCACGAACCGGUACUAAAGGUCCCAUUUUCAAACCCCCCCCCNNNNNNNNNNNNNNNNNNNNNNNNNNNNNNNNNNNNNNNNNNNNNNNNNNNNNNNNNNNNNNNNNNNNNNNNNNNNNNNNNNNNNNNNNNNNNNNNNNNNAUGUAUCCACAUAAAUAUUAACAAAAUAAAAAUUAUCACAUUAAUUAAAAAGGAUUAAUCUCAAGAUUCAUGAUGUAGUCCAUCAAGACUAUAUGUCGUUCGUAUAACACGUUCCUGUAACAUGUUCCUAUAACAAAAGUAUUUGAUGUAACAUGAUAAUUGUAGUUUAGAGACCAUGGUUUGUUCGUAUAGAAACCUGAGCUUGCUUGCUUCUACAAUUAACUUUCAAGAUGUAAUUGUCCAUUAGUGAGCAUGGUCAUUGGAAAACGUCUUUCUACUUAUAAACUAACUGAAGAAUAUUAUAUUUCUUUAGAAAUAAAAUGAAGAAUAGUUAAUAUGUGAAACAAGAGCUUGGACAUGUUAAUUUUUUAGGCUGUCUUAACGUUUGUGAAUGCGCAGGCAAUGUCGACCAUGGGUUGAGGCUAGACUUUGCUGGAUAAGGUUCUCCCUUAGAUGAUGACAGCAUGGAUGGCCGGAUCUUUGUCCAGUGAGCACUAUGGAUGGUCGAAUAUGCAUCUAGCGAGCGCCAAGCCGGGUGGUGGUGGCUGCAGAAUUAGCAUAGGGGUUUGUAGAUUUUAGUUUCUUGUGUUUUGCUAGUCCAUACGGAUGAAUUAUUUGGAAAUAUAUGUAAUUUUAAGGUUUUGUGUAAAAAAACCUGCUUAUGUUUAUGAUUUUUUCUUUUGGUUAAUGACAUGAGUUUAUAUUUUUGAGAAAAUAGAAUUUCCAUGGGCCAUGAGAAAUGAGAUGGGCUAGUCGUUGGAUUGAAACUACUGGGCGUUGGACGUAUUGAAACAUUAAUGGGCCAACAUUUUAAUUGGGCUGAUUACUACAUUGGUGUUGGUCUUGGAUUGAGCUAAAAUUUAAUGAGUCAAAAAUCAUAUUGGGCUGAUUACUUCAUGGGCCGCCAUGUUAGAUCCAGGUCAGAUGCUGACGUGGCAGACAAGUUAACGUCGUUAUGAGCACGUCAGUUUAGUAUUCCAUGACGAUCAAGAACUGUCAUGGUCCAUGACGGUUCUUGAUGAUCCGUCAUGGAGCGUACCAUGUUCAAAUUAUGACACAAUAUACAUGACGGAUUUCAGGCCCAUCACGUAUGCCCUCUCAUGACAAUUUUGCGCAUGUCCAUGACGGAUUAGAACUGUCAUGUAUUAACAGAUUUCUUGUAGUGGUAGAACACAAAUUUGUUGUGGGCGUAGAUGUUGUCAACUUUCUUGCCACUACUAGUCUUAUUUUGCUUCAGCGGUAUCGUGGGAUGAAGCGGCCCGGACCGACCUUACACGUACGCUUACGUGAGACAGGUUCCACCGACUGACAUGCACUAGUUGCAUAAGGUGGCUAGCGGGUGUCUGUCUCUCCCACUUUAGUUGAAGCAGAUUCGAUGAAAAGGGUCCUUAUGAAGGGUAAAUAGAAGUUGGCAAAUCAUGUUGUGGCUUUUACAUAGGUAAAAAAACGUUCUUGCUAGAACCCUAUUGCAGCCACAUAAAACAUGCAACAACAAUUAGGGAACGUCUAACUUGUUUUUACAGCAUGUGAUUGUGAUGUGAUAUGGCCAAAAGUUGUGAUGAAUGAUGAAUGAUAUAUAUGUGAUGUAUGAGAUCAUGUUCUUGUAAUAGGAAUCACGACUUGCAUGUCGAUGAGUAUGACAACCGGCAGGAGCCAUAGGAGUUGUCUUAAUUAUUGUAUGACAUGCGUGUCAUUGAUUCAACGCCAUGUAAUUACUUUACUUUAUUGCUAAACCGUUAGACAUAGUAGUAGAAGUAAUAGUUGGCGAGCAACCCCAUGGAGACACGAUGAUGGAGAUCGUGAUGAUGGAGAUCAUGGUGUCAUGCCGGUGACGAAGAUGAUCAUGAAGCCCCGAAGAUGGAGAUCAAAGGAGCUAUAUGAUAUUGGCCAUAUCAUGUCACUACUAUUUGAUUGCAUGUGAUGUUUAUCAUGUUUUUGCAUCUUGUUUACUUAGAACGACGGUAGUAAAUAAGAUGAUCCCUCAUGUGCGCCGUUGUGAAAGUUCGUUGUUUAAAAGCACCACAUGAUAAUCGGGUGUGAUAGAUUCUAACAUUCACAUACAACGGGUGUAAGACAGAUUUACACACGCAUAAAUACUUAGGUUAACUUGACGAGCCUAGCAUGUACAGACAUGGCCUCGGAACACAAGAGACCAAAAGGUUGAACAUGAGUCGUAUGGAAGAUAUGAUCAACAUGGAGAUGUUCACCGAUGAUGACUAGUCCGCCUCACGUGAUGAUCGGACACAGCCUAGUCGACUCGGAUCAUGUAUCACUUAGAUGACUAGUGGGAUGUCUAAUCUGAGUGGGAGUUCAUUAAAUAAUUUGAUUAGAUGAACUUAAUUAUCAUGAACUUAGUCUAAAAUCUUUACAAUAUGUCUUAUAGAUCAAAUGGCCCACGUUACCCUCAACUUCAACGCGUUCCUAGAGAAAACCAAGCUAAAAGAUGAUGGCAGCAACUAUACGGACUGGGUCCGGAACCUGAGGAUCAUCCUCAUAGCUGCAAAGAAAGAUUAUGUUUUAGAAGCACCGCUAGGUGAAGCUCCCAUCCCAGAGAACCAAGAUGUUAUGAACGCUUGGCAGUCUCGUGCUGAUGAUUACUCCCUCGUUCAGUGCGUCAUGCUUUACAGCUUAGAACCGGGGCUCCAAAAGCGUUUUGAGCAACAUGGAGCAUAUGAGAUGUUCGAAGAGCUGAAAAUGGUUUUCCAAGCUCAUGCUCGGGUCGAGAGAUAUGAAGUCUCCGACAAGUUCUUCAGUUGUAAGAUGGAGGAAAAUAGUUCUGUCAGUGAGCACAUAUUCAAAAUGUCUGGGUUGCACAACCGCUUAACUCAGCUGGGAGUUAAUCUCCCAGAUGACGCGGUUAUUGACAGAAUCCUUCAGUCGCUUCCACCGAGCUACAAGAGCUUUGUGAUGAACUUCAAUAUGCAGGGGAUGGAAAAGACCAUUCCUGAGGUGUAUUCAAUGCUGAAAUCAGCGGAGGUAGAGAUCAAGAAGGAACAUCAAGUGUUGAUGGUGAAUAAAACCACUAAGUUCAAGAAAGGCAAGGGUAAGAAGAACUUCAAGAAGGACGACAAGGGAGUUGCGGCGCCCGGUAAGCCAGUUGCCGGGAAGAAGUCAAAGAAUGGACCCAAGCCUGAGACUGAGUGCUUUUAUUGCAAGGGAAGCAGACACUGGAAGCAGAACUGCCCCAAAUACUUAGCGGACAANNNNNNNNNNNNNNNNNNNNNNNNNNNNNNNNNNNNNNNNNNNNNNNNNNNNNNNNNNNNNNNNNNNNNNNNNNNNNNNNNNNNNNNNNNNNNNNNNNNNGAUGCACCAGUAUCAAAAAGAACUUUUGCAGGAAUAUCAUUAACAGGAAGAUUACCCAUUAUCACAUCAGUAGAUUCCUCCGCUUGAGCUGCAUUCAUCAUGUUCACCUUUGCAAACUUUGGAUUAUGCUUGACCACUGCAUUGCUGGAAGAUCUGACAGGAGGAGGAGGAGGAAGACGCCUCUGGUUGAAGCACUUGUUAGCAUAGUGACCUUUCUGCUGACAUUUGUUGCAAGUCACCUCUGAGAGUGGACGGUGAUAAGGAGCAUUGGACUUGGGAGCUUGAUUCUGAGACUUGUUCUGAUGGCCAGAGUUGGAAGAGUUUGAAGAACCAUGGCCACCUUUGUUCUUCUGCUGGUAAGGCUGACGAAACGGGGGAGGAGGAGGCAAUCAGAACUUCUGUUGCUUAGCUGUCACAAGUGAGGAAGAAGAAGACUGAACUGCAUCCCUGACUCUCUUCUUAGAAGCCUCACACUUGAGCUGAGCAGCCUCUUGCUUCAGUGCCAUAUUGUAGAAUUGAUCAAACUGAGUGGGCUCAACAAGAACGAGAGCUAACUGCAGAUCCUCUUUAAGGCCACCUCGGAAGUGAUAGAUCAUGCUCUUCUCAUCAGGAACGUCUUGUUUAGCGAAGCGAGCAAGUUUCUGAAACUGAAUGUUGUAUUGAUACACAAACAUGUUUCCUUGCUUGAGAUUGCGGAACUCCUCACGCUUGCUCUCAACAACACUUUGUGGAAUGUGGUGCGCUUUGAAAUCCCGACAGAAGUCAGUCCAAGUAAUCACACGACCUCCUCUGGAAUCUUUGUAUUGCUGAAACCAAUCAGCAGCUUGGUCCUUGAGCUGGAAAGAAGCGAACUUGACAAAGUCCUCAGGCCUGACAUUGCUACAUUCAAAAUGCUUGUUGAUGUCCACGAGCCAAUCAUCGGCAUCCGUGGCCUCGGCACAGUAGCUAAAAGACUUGGGCUGAUUUGCGAGAAACUGGUUGAGAGUGGCAAAGUGAAACUGAUUGUUGCCUUGACCUUGAUUGCCUUGAUUCCCUUGCCCUUGAGUACGUUCUUGCAAGAGUUGCAGAAUCAUCUGAGCGUUGGCGUUGGUGGCUGCCAUGAUUGCUUGCCAUGCCUCCGGAGGUGGAGGUGGUGGCGGAGGGUUCGCUUGACUCCCUUCAUUGCGAUCCGGAUUCUGACGCGUUGGCGGAGCCAUCCUGAAGAGGGUGACAUCCGUUAGCAUCUUGAUAGACAAAAGAUAAGUGGAAUCAACGGAUAGAAAUUGCAACAUAUAGUCUUCACAAUAAACAUUCGCACGAAGAUGAACGAAUGAAUUCCGUAGUAAACCAUCACACUUCCAUAAGUUGAGAAGCCACUUGAAAAGAUAUGGAAUGAACAUAUGAAUUCGAAGCAACUCGAAUACCACAAUACAAAAUAAAACAAAGUAUUGGCUUGCAGAAUAAGCCGGAACAAACAUAUGAUAGAUAUUUCGUCCGAAGUUUUCAUGGUGGGGCCCACACGGGCUCAAUCGUACAGCACCAUCAUGUACAAAGGCUAUGCACAUGACAUACGAAGCGUCCCCGAGUCGGUAAAGCCAUGGACUCUUUAAGACACAACGAGACCACUGUAAAAUCAACCGUAUACAGGCGGACCACUAGACGUCGAACCCCAAUCUCAUAUCAUGCAUCUGUCGGAAAGAUAUCCUAAGGCUACUAGAAUUCCCACUUAUAAACUCCCGAAACUUUCUAGUUAUGCAAUCUGGUGUAGGGGAUACAGGGGACACAAAUAUAUAUCACCCAAACUAACAAUCCCUAGAUCCAGCUGUAUCCAUCCGUCAACACAUAACCAAGAAACCUUCGGAAAUCGUUUACCUCAACCUUCGAAAAACAUCCGUUAUACAAGUUAUGGCAAUACUCCCGAACUCCCGCCCCAGUACUGGGUGGCGUCGAGGUGAUCUCACCAACAACUGCAUAAAAGAGAUUUCGAUGUCGGCGAAACUCAGGUAUUCCAGAACUGCAACGAUAAAAUUGUGACGACAACACCUCGGAGCUCAACUCCCCGGGACACUGCCACAACCCCUAAAUGACAGGAGGCACCAAGAACAAUGUUCUCGUCACAAAUCGAUCGGAACGAUUCCAAGAUACCCGCGUGAUCUUAAAAUUUUUUUUUAGUGAAAUUUGAGGAGAGAAUAGUCAAAACUUCUACGUCAGGAGACCUCACCAGAGCGACGAAGGGACUGAGGAGUAAAAAGAAUCCUACUCUCCGAUAUAUAUAAUCCUAAGACUCAAAACAUUUUUGUUCUAGACUCAACAACGCCAGCGAUUCGAUCAAGCAGGGGGCUCCUAAGUCGGGGAUGGCUCUGAUUACCAACUUGUAACGCCCACGAUGCGGCUAUAUCUCCCACGUGUCGAGGCACGACUUAGAGGCAUAAUCGCAUAGUGGUUUUGUCGCAAGAAGGGUCAUCUUCACACAAUCCCAUGUAAUGAACAAGAAUGGGAUAAAGAGUUGGCUUACAAUCGCCACUUCACACAAUACAUAAAUAUCAUCAUACAUCAUCCAAGAUACAAUCAUGUAGACCGACUACGGUCAAAAUCCGGAUGAAAAUAAGACAACCCCAAAUGCUAGAUCCCCGAUCGUCCCAACUGGGCUCCACUACUGAUCAUCAGGAAAAGACACAUAGUAACGACCACGUUCCUCGUCGAACUCCCACUUGAGAUCGACGCCAUCAUCUGCACUGGCAUCGUCGGCACCUGCAACUGGUGUUGGAAGUAUCUGUGAGUCACGGGGACUCAGCAAUCUCACACCCGCGAGAUCAAGACUAUUUAAGCUUAUAGGACAAAGAGGUGCAAAGAGGUGGAGCUGCAGCGGCAAAAGCAUAUAUGGUGGCUAACUUGCGCAAAUGAGAGCGAGAAGAGAAGCAAUGGAACGGGCGUCAUCGAGCAAUGACCAAGAAGAGGUCCUGAACACCUACUUACGUCAUACAUAACACAGACCGUGUUCACUUCCCGGACUCCGCCGAGAAGAGACCAUCACGGCUACACACGCACUUGGUGUAUUUUAAUUGGGUCAAGUGACAAGUUAUCUACAACCGGAUAUUAACAAAUUCCCAUCUGCCUCAUAACCGCGGGCACGGCUUUCGAAAGAUAAUACCCUGCAGGGGGGUCCCAACUUAGCCCAUCAUAAGCUCUCACGGUCAACGAAGGAUAAACCUUCUCUCGGAAAGNNNNNNNNNNNNNNNNNNNNNNNNNNNNNNNNNNNNNNNNNNNNNNNNNNNNNNNNNNNNNNNNNNNNNNNNNNNNNNNNNNNNNNNNNNNNNNNNNNNNUUUUUUUUUGAGCCUUCUCUUUUUUAUGGCCUUUCUCUUUUUUUGGGCCCUCUCUUUUUUAUGGCCUUUCUCUUUUUUUAUUCCUCACUUCGGACAAUGCUCUAGAAAAUGAUGAUCAUCACACUUCUAUUUAUUUACAAGUCAAUGAUUACAACUCGAUACUAGAACAAAGAUGACUCUAUAUGAAUGCCUCCGGUGGUGUACCGGGAUAUGCAAUGAACCAAGAGUGACAUGUAUGAAAGAAUUAUGAACGGUGGCUUUGCCACAAAUACUAUGUCAACUACAUGAUCAUGCUAAGCAAUAUGACAAUGAUGAUGCGUGUCAUAAUAAACGGAACGGUGGAAAGUUGCAUGGUAAUAUAUCUCGGAAUGGCUAUGGAAAUGCCAUAAUAGGUAGGUAUGGUGGCUGUUUUGAGGAAGAUAUAAGGAGGUUUAUGUGUGAUAGAGCGUAUCAUAUCACGGGGUUUGGAUGCACCGGCGAAGUUUGCACCAACUCUCAAUGUGAGAAAGGGCAAUGCACGGUACUGAAGAGGCUAGCAAGGAUGAAAGGGUGAGAGUGCGUAUAAUCCAUGGACUCAACAUUAGUCAUAAACAACUCACAUACUUAUUGCAAAAAUCUACAAGUCAUCAAAAACCUCGGCACUACGCGCAUGCUCCUAGGGGGAUAGAUUGGUAGGAAAAGACCAUCGCUCGUCCCCGACCGCCACUCAUAAGGAGGACAAUCAAAUAACACCUCAUGUUUCAAAUUUGUUACAUAACGUUUACCAUACGUGCAUGCUACGGGACUUGCAAACUUCAACACAAGCAUUUCUCAAUUUCACAACUACUCAACUAGCACGACUUUGAUAUUAUUACCUCCAUAUAUCAAAAUAAUCAUCAAGCAUCAAACUUCUCUUAGUAUUCAAAACACUCAUAAGAAAAUUUUACUAAUCUUGAAUACCUAGCAUAUUAGGAUUUUAAGAAAAUUACCAUGAUAUUUAAGACUCUCAAAAUAAUCUAAGUGAAGCAUGAGAGUUCAUCUAUUUCUUCAAAAUAAAACUACCACCAUGCUCUAAAAGAUAUAAGUGAAGCACUAGAGCGAAUGACAAACUACUCUGAAAGAUAUAAGUGAAGAUCAAUGAGUAGUCGAAUAAUUAUGCAACUAUGUGAAGACUAUCUAACAUUUAAUAACUUCAGAUCUUGGUAUUUUAUUUAAACAGCAAGCGAAACAAAAUAAAAUGAAAUGACACUCCAAGCAAAACACAUAUCAUGUGGCGAAUAAAAAUAUAGCUCCAAGUAAAGUUACCGAUGAACGAAGACAAAAGAGGGGAUGCCUUCCGAGGCAUCCCCAAGAUUAGGCUAUUGGUCAUCCUUGAAUAUUACCUUGGGGUGCCUUGGGAAUCCCCAAGCUUAGGCUCUUGCCACUCCUUAUUUCAUAGUCCAUCGAAUCUUUACCCAAAACUUGAAAACUUCACAACACAAAACUUAACAGAAACCUCGUAAGCUCCGUUAGUAUAAGAAAAUAAAUCACCACUUAGGUACUGUAAUGAACUUGUUUUUUAUUUAUAUUGGUGUUAAACCUACUGUAUUCCAACUUCUCUAUGGUUUAUAAACUCUUUUACUAGCCAUAGAUUUAUCAAAAUAAGUAAACAACACAUGAAAAACAGAAUCUUUCGAAAGCAGAACAGUCUGUAGUAAUAUGGAUCAAACAUAUACUUCUGGAACUCAUAAAAUUCUCAAAUAAAUUUCUGGACCUGAGGAAUUUAUCUAUUAAUCAUCUUCAAAAAGAAUUAACUAAAUAGCACUCUCCAAAUAAAAAUGGCAGCAAUUCUCGUGAGCGCUAAAGUUUCUGUUUUUUACAGCAUGAUCGCAAAGACUUCCCCCAAGUCUUCCCAAAGGUUUUACUUGGCACAAACACUAAUUAAAUGCAUAAAACCACAUAUAAACAGAGGCUAGAUGAAUUAUUUAUUACUAAACAGGAGCAAAAAACAUGGGACAAAAAUAAAAUUGGGUUGCCUCCCAACAAGCGCUAUCGUUUAACGCCCCUAGCUAGGCAUGAUGAUUUCAACGAUGCUCACAUAAAAGAUAAGAAUUGAAACAUAAAGAGAGCAUCAUGAAGAAUAUGACUAGCACAUUUAAGUCUAACAUACUUCCUAUGCAUAGGGAUUUUGUGAGCAAACAACUUAUGGGAACAAUAACCAACUAGCAUAGGAGGGCAAAACAAGCAUAACUUCAAAACUUUAAGCACAUAGAGAGGAAACUUGAUAUUAUUGCAAUUCCUACAAGCAUAUAUUCCUCCCUCAUAAUAAUUUUCAGUAGCAUCAUGAAUGAAUUCAACAAUAUAACCAGCACCUAAAGCAUUCUUUUCAUGAUCUACAAGCAUAGAAAUUUUAUUACUCUCCACAUAAGCAAAAUUCUUCUCAUUCGGAAUAGUGGGAGCAAACUCAACAAAAUAAUUAUCAUGUCAGGCAUAAUCCAAUUGAAAACUAAAAUCAUGAUGACAAGUUUCAUGUAUAUCAUUAUUCUUUAUAGCAUACAAGUCAUCACAAUAAUCAUCAUAGAUAGCAACUUUGUUCUCAUAAUGAAUUGGAACCUCUUCCGAAAUAGUAGAUUCAUCACAAAAUAAAGUCAUGACCUCUCCAUAUCCACUUUCAACAAUAUAAUCAUCAUAAAUAGGAGGCAUGCUUUCAUCAUAAUAAAUUUGAUCAUCAUAACUUGGGGGACAAAAAAUAUCAUCUUCAUCAAACAUAGCUUCCCCAAACUUGUGGCUUUGCAUAUCAUUAGCAUCAUGGAUAUUCAAGGAAUUCAUACUAACAACAUUGCAAUCAUGCUCAUCAUUCAAAUAUUUAGUGCCAAACAUUUUAAUGCAUGCUUCUUCUAACACUUUGGCACACAUUUCCUUUCCAUAAUACACACAAAAGAUAUUAAAAAGAUGAAGCGUAUGAGGCAAACUUAAUUCCAUUUUUAUAAACUAAACUAGUGAUAAAACAAGAAACUAAAAGACUCGAUUGUAAGAUCUAAAGAUAUACCUUCAAGCGCUAACCUCCCCGGCAACGACGCCAGAAAAGAGCUUGAUGUCUACUACACAACCUUCUUCUUGUAGACGUUGUUGGGCCUCCAAGUGCAGAGGUUUGUAGGACAGUAGCAAAUUUCCCUCAAGUGGAUGACCUAAGGUUUAUCAAUCCGUAGGAGGCGUAGGAUGAAGAUGGUCUCUCUCAAGCAACNNNNNNNNNNNNNNNNNNNNNNNNNNNNNNNNNNNNNNNNNNNNNNNNNNNNNNNNNNNNNNNNNNNNNNNNNNNNNNNNNNNNNNNNNNNNNNNNNNNNAGAACAAGUACAUGUAUAGAAAUUUAAUACACUGCAAACCAUCCUAAAAAUAAAAAGUGACUUACCUAUGCUCAUUUGAUAUGGUAGGACGGAUAUGGUGAUUCCUCGACUUUUAACUCACCAGCGUGCCGAACAUGCAUAUCUUAUGUGAUAUCUGACUCUUCAAGCUUAUUAUGUAAUGCAAACCAAAAGUGACAGCAUUAGGGCAUUUAUCUAUACCUCUAUACCUACUAAUAAAGCAAGGUGCGUUUCUCUAAUUUUUUCAUCCGUUCACCGUAUUAUUUUUUAGAUUUUGUAUUAUUCAAGGUGGUACUAAUUUUGUGUGUCCGCGUGGGAGAAAAGGAAAAAAUGUUCGUCCAAAAUCGGCCCAUCGUAGCCUGUCCAGCUAGAGAGGUGCGCUCUGGCCCAUUGAAUCCCGCAAAAUGAAAAUUUGGUUCUUCAUUCUAAAAAGGAUACGAUAUCAUAUGUCAGGUCGCUUUUGUAUGACUAACCACAAAAUUAAUCUAGGGGCAAUCUCUAGACAAGAUAGGAGUAUAUCUACCUGAAUAAGCUUUCACACAUGGAUAGUUAUAUGUAGCAUUCGCAAGGGAUGGACCGUGGGUAAUGCUAAAUGAUCAAGAUUAAAAUAAGGAUGACGUGGUUAAGAAAAUAAUCUAAUAUAUUCUAAAGGUAUGAACAAUUAACACACAUUCAACAUGAUGCUUCUUUGACUAGCUCUACUGGCCAAUUACAUAAGAACAAGUACAUGUAUAGAAAUUUAGUACACUGCAAACCAUCCUAAAAAUAAAAAGUGACUUACCUAUGCUUAUUUGAUAUGGUAGGACGGAUAUGGUGAUUCCUCGACUUUUAACUCACCAGCGUGCCGAACAUGCAUAUCUUAUGUGAUAUCUGACUCUUCAAGCUUAUUAUGUAAUGCAAACCAAAAGUGACAACAUUAGGGCAUUUAUCUAUACCUCUAUACCUACUAAUAAAGCAAGGUGCGUUUCUCCAAUUUUUUCAUCCGUUCACCGUAUUAUUUUCUAGAUUUUGUAUUAUUCAAGGUGGUACUAAUUUUGUGUGUCCGCGUGGGAGAAAAGGAAAAAAUGUUCGUCCAAAAUCGGCCCAUCGUAGCCUGUCCAGCUAGAGAGGUGCGCUCUGGCCCAUUGAAUCCCGCAAAAUGAAAAUUUGGUUCUUCAUUCUAAAAAGGAUACGAUAUCAUAUGUCAGGUUGCUUUUGUAUGACUAACCACAAAAUUAACCUAGGGGCAAUCUCUAGACAAGAUAGGAGUAUAUCUACCUGAAUAAGCUUUCACACAUGGAUAGUUAUAUGUAGCAUUCGCAAGGGAUGGACCGUGGGUAAUGCUAAAUGAUCAAGAUUAAAAUAAGGAUGACGUGGUUAAGAAAAUAAUCUAAUAUAUUCUAAAGGUAUGAACAAUUAACACACAUUCAACAUGAUGCUUCUUUGACUAGCUCUACUGGCCAAUUACAUAAGAACAAGUACAUGUAUAGAAAUUUAGUACACUGCAAACCAUCCUAAAAUUAAAAAGUGACUUACCUAUGCUCAUUUCAUAUGGUAGGACGGAUAUGGUGAUUCCUCGACUUUUAACUCACCAGCGUGCCGAACAUGCAUAUCUUAUGUGAUAUCUGACUCUUCAAGCUUAUUAUGUAAUGCAAACCAAAAGUGACAGCAUUAGGGCAUUUAUCUAUACCUCUAUACCUACUAAUAAAGCAAGGUGCGUUUCUCCAAUUUUUUCAUCCGUUCACCGUAUUGUUUUCUAGAUUUUGUAUUAUUCAAGGUGGUACUAAUUUUGUGUGUCCGCGUGGGAGAAAAGGAAAAAAUGUUCGUCCAAAAUCGGCCCAUCGUAGCCUGUCCAGCUAGAGAGGUGCGCUCUGGCCCAUUGAAUCCCGCAAAAUGAAAAUUUGGUUCUUCAUUCUAAAAAGGAUACGAUAUUAUAUGUCAGGUCGCUUUUGUAUGACUAACCACAAAAUUAACCUAGGGGCAAUCUCUAGACAAGAUAGGAGUAUAUCUACCUGAAUAAGCUUCCACACAUGGAUAGUUAUAUGUAGCAUUCGGAAGGGGUGGACCGUGGAUAAUGCUAAAUGAUCAAGAUUAAAAUAAGGAUGACGUGGUUAAGAAAAUAAUCUAAUAUAUUCUAAAGGUAUGAACAAUUAACACACAUUCAACAUGAUGCUUCUUUGACUAGCUCUACUGGCCAAUUACACAAGAACAAGUACAUGUAUAGAAAUUUAGUACACUGCAAACCAUCCUAAAAAUAAAAAGUGACUUACCUAUGCUCAUUUGAUAUGGUAGGACGGAUAUGGUGAUUCCUCGACUUUUAACUCACCAGCGUGCCGAACAUGCAUAUCUUAUGUGAUAUAUGACUCUUCAAGCUUAUUAUGUAAUGCAAACCAAAAGUGACAGCAUUAGGGCAUUUAUCUAUACCACUAUACCUACUAAUAAAGCAAGGUGCGUUUCUCCAAUUUUUUCAUCCGUUCACCGUAUUAUUUUCUAGAUUUUGUAUUAUUCAAGGUGGUACUAAUUUUGUGUGUCCGCGUGGGAGAAAAGGAAAAAAUGUUCGUCCAAAAUCGGCCCAUCGUAGCCUGUCCAGCUAGAGAGGUGCGCUCUGGCCCAUUGAAUCCCACAAAAAGAAAAUUUGGUUCUUCAUUAUAAAAAGGAUACAAUAUCAUAUGUCAGGUCGCUUUUGUAUGACUAACCACAAAAUUAACCUAGGGGCAAUCUCUAGACAAGAUAGGAGUAUAUCUACCUAAAUAAGCUUUCACACAUUGAUAGUUAUAUGUAGCAUUCGCAAGGGAUGGACCGUGGGUAAUGCUAAAUGAUCAAGAUUAAAAUAAGGAUGACGUGAUUAAGAAAAUAAUCUAAUAUAUUCUAAAGGUAUGAACAAUUAACACACAUUCAACAUGAUGCUUCUUGGACUAGCUCUACUGGCCAAUUACAUAAUAAUAAGUACAUGUAUAGAAAUUUAGUACACUGCAAACCAUCCUAAAAAUAAAAAGUGACUUACCUAUUCUCAUUUGAUAUGGUAGGACGAAUAUGGUGAUUCCUCGACUUUUAACUCACCAGCGUGCCGAACAUGCAUAUCUUAUGUGAUAUCUGACUCUUCAAGCAUAUUAUGUAAUGCAAACCAAAAGUGACAGCAUUAGGGCAUUUAUCUAUACCUCUAUACCUACUAAUAAAGCAAGGUGCGUUUCUCUAAUUUUUUCAUNNNNNNNNNNNNNNNNNNNNNNNNNNNNNNNNNNNNNNNNNNNNNNNNNNNNNNNNNNNNNNNNNNNNNNNNNNNNNNNNNNNNNNNNNNNNNNNNNNNNUUUUUUUUGCGGGUAAAACUUAUAUUACUCAAACAUCAACCUUGCAGUCUUCCUUACAUAAAUCAAUGACUUUCAGAAGGCCAGAUCCUAACUAGACUAUAGUUCCACGCUCAGUUCUUGCAAACAUUGCUACACAAUCACCAACAAAAUUUUGAGAAUGGUUGAUGUGAGCAAUAUGAGCCGUAUGCAGAGACUCUAAAUGCUUGACCUCUGCCAUCAAAGACAUUCAAUAUGUUCAUUGCCGACAGGGAAUCCAUCUCGAUUUGAAUUGGGAGACCGGAGCAAUGGAUAAACCUUCCAUGCAUGCACUUAUUUCUACUUCAAGGGCAUCUGUACAAGAGAAGAGCUCCCUACAAUAUGUAUAAAUGAUUUUACCUAGAUGAUCAUGGAGCACCAUCCCGGCUGCCGCCUUCCCAUCCUUUGUCCAUGAACCGUCAGUGUUGAGUUUAACCCAGCCCACUGGCUGAGGAGACCACUUUGCAGGGGGUAACACAUUUGAUAUUUCAUGUGAACUUUUGAUUUCAGACCAUAAGAUAUUGACACCUUCCCUUUGGCCAGAUCACAAAUGGAAUCUUCUGCUAUCAGUAUCACAAUGAGUGCGUCCAGGUAGCUGCAUAAAAAUCUGCGAGAAGCGUCCAUCGGUGGUGGUAAUUUGUCAUGAACUGGCUCAUUACGGUUAUGCCAACACCUUGAGAAGGUGAGCAGAACCAUACCUCGCUCCACAUCUCCCAAUGGAUGUAGUUCUUCAAGUAACCACUCAACUCCUGUUUUGGUCACAUCUUUGAGUUUCGGCGGGCGCCAGAGUUCAGACAUACACUCCCAUAGCUGAAUGGAUAGUGGGCAAUGACAAAGGGCAUGGAAACAGUCCGUUGUUUCAGUACCACAGAUUGGGCAAAAUGCUUGAGACCUCCAGACCUCGCUUGUCCUUGUUCUUCAAUGUUGGGAGAGAGUUAACAGCAACUCGCCAAGCAAUGUUUUUUUUUGGGGUUGCCAAGCAAUGUUUUGAACAGUGUGUGUGACCAUGCUACUCCAUAUUAGCUUGUAUACUUGUUCCAGGUAGACUCUUUUGCAACAAAACAAUACGUCCGGUAAGGUAACUGAUGCAUGCAAUGAGUUCCUACGUAAGGUCUUCUUAGCCCCGCUUUCCAUUGAAACUUCCCCACAUCCCCCGCAGAAAAAAAAGAAAAAGAAAAGAAACUUCCCCACAUUUUUUUCCACUGAAACUCACCUCGAUCAGAACAUCACUCAGUUUUGAGCCUGGUACAUAACUUCGACCUAGGCUACAGCUCAAAUCUACUACCGUUUGAGAGUAAUCAACAUGAUAGAGCACUUACUUUGCGAAUAAUUAACAAGGUGGAACAAGAUGGAGAAACGUGAACAAUUUUACUUCCAUGGCUAGAAAGCCUAGAAAGCAGUUAUACAAUGCAACAAUUUGGAACAUGAUAGAACACUUUCUUUGCCAAAUAAUUAACAUGUCAUAACAUAAUGGAACAAUUCUGUGAUUACACUUCGUAAUCGACAUCAUAUCCCAAAGCGCAGACGCAAGGAAAUUUGCAUAAGUCUAGCAUUGUCGACUAAGAAGCAGCAUCGAUUUCCAUGGCGCCGGAGUCGCUAACAUCCUGGCCAUGUUCCGUCGAGAGAGAUAUGUAUACGUACGACUCAUCAUCAGCGGCAGGAAUCGUCACCACCUGGUGCCGGCACAUGGGGCAGCUCCCCUUGGCAUGCAGCCACCUCUCCACGCACCGCCCGUGGAACCGGUGCCCGCACGGCGUCAACUUCCACGUCGCUAUGUCGUCCUCCAAGCAGAUCGGGCAGUUGAGGCCGUCAUCGUCUGACAGCGCGUCCACCGUCUUCAGCGCCUUGUCCACCGCCGCCGCCAACACUGGGUCGACGUCGCCCGCGACGCCGACGAGUGCGGCGAUGUCGGCCGCGUUCACCGCGGUGCCUAGCUCUAGUAGGUAGUCGAGAGUGCUUUGGCGGAUAAGUGGGCCGUGCACGGCGACGUAUGCGACUAGAACGUCCGGGAGACCUUCUUCUACUUGUGGGAGGUCUUCGGCCAUGUCCAUGGCAUUCGACGCCAUCUAGCUAGCUGGCAAUAGCGCUGGAGAGAGAUUGAUCAGUUUCUCACCGCCGGCUACGUACGUACGUACGUGAUGGCGAAAUGAAACUGGAUCGGAUCGUAGGGGAAGCGAUGGAAAUAAUCGCACAGGCGACAGUGUGCAUAUAAUAUGAAACCAGAAUGUUGGAGAGUCACGCUCUCGUGUCGGAAUUGGAUUAUAUUAAUUAUUACGUUUUUCAGGAAAUACUAAAUUAUUAUGUGUUUUCUUAUAAUAGAAAGAAACACCUAUUUCUUUUGAUGGACCAGCCCAGUAACGCGCGUGUUUUUUACUUUGAUUUUCUUACUUUCAGAGAAGAAACAUGUAUUUCUUUCCUUUUUCUAUUUCUGUAUUAUUUCGGUUUAGCUUUUGGUUUAUUUCCACUUUUAUAUAUUCCUUUUAUUUUAUUAUAUACGGUGAAAUGUGGAAAUAUUUGUUCAAAAUUACAUGCGCACAUAUUUCUAAUGCACAUGAACAAUUUCUCACAAACAUAUAAAAUCUUUCAGACAUAUUUGAAACAUGUAUUUUUUUCCAAAUCUAUGAAUAUUUCUAUUUGCAUGCAGAAACAUUUGUUGCAUAUAACAUGAUUUUUUUGAGUGUAUGUACAUUUAUAAUCAUAUAAAUGGGUAUUUUAAUGUUUAUAAUAAUCCAUCAUUAAACUUAUUUUAAAAUUAUAAAUAAAAAUUGAGAACCCACCUUUGGUUGGAUGGCUAAAGGGACUGUGGCAUCCCCAGCCCACCAGAGUUCAAAUGCUGGUGCUCGCAUUUAUUCCUGGAUUUAUUUCAGGAUUUACGGUGAUGUGCAUUCAGUGGGAGGAGACGUUCCCGUCGACGAUGAGGCGCCUAUGGUGAGUUCGUAAAUCUCGAGAUAACAUCGAUGUGCAUUUAGUGGGAGGAGACGUUCCUGUCGACGACGAGGCGCCUACGGUGACUUCGUAAAUCUUAAGAUAAUAUGCCGGCUCAGUCUUUCGGAGAUGGUCAUAGCGAUACAGGUGUGCGUGUGUGCAUUCAUAGGGUGAGUGUAUGCGUGUCUAUAUGAGUGCUUGGGUCUGUACUGAUGUUUAAAAAUUAUAAAUAAAAAUUAUUAUUCAUGUUUAUGAUUUUUUUNNNNNNNNNNNNNNNNNNNNNNNNNNNNNNNNNNNNNNNNNNNNNNNNNNNNNNNNNNNNNNNNNNNNNNNNNNNNNNNNNNNNNNNNNNNNNNNNNNNNUCAUAUGGAUGCUAGCGACACCAUCAUAUACAUGAGCCAAAAGGCGCAAACGGUCCCGAGCCACGGUAAGGCAACACCCAUGGGAAUACCGUGCGUGAGGCCGCAAAGUGAUAUGAGGUGUUACCGGCUAGAUCGAUGUGACUUGGAAUCGGGGUCCUGACAAUGAGCUCAGAUUAAAAAAAAGACUUUGCUAAGAUGGUGUUGGCGAAGGAGGAGGCACUUUCCCAGUUGCCCUGUGCAAAACGGGUUCUUACUGAACUAAAAGCAGAGGUGGAUAAGACGAGUCUGGAUGAUCUUGAUUAGGAAAAUGAAUAUAUUGUUCUUAUGAAGUUGAACUAGCUAUAUGUUGUAUUGUGCUGUUUUCAUGUAGCUACCGUACUGUGAUGUUAUAAUAUAUUUAUGUGCCUGAUAUGAAAUUGGCAAACAGCUGUUCGAUAUGAAAUGUGAAUUUGCGUAAUACUGGAAUUAUUAAUUGUAAACUAAUAAACCUGCUAAAUGUGUCAUGGACCUUUGCAAAUGGUUCUAGCAGUAAAAGCGGUUGCGAUGGAUAGCCCAAUGCCACACAUCUUUCUUCAUCAAAUCGUGUGUGAUAUAGUUGAUAAAAGCAAACAGUUAACCAAGAACAGAGUAACGCAUUUGGCAAGAUGACAUGAUGUAGAGGGAUAAACUCAAGCAAUAUGAUAUAAAACCCAUCUUUUUAUCCUUGAUGGCAACAAUACAAUACGUAUCGUUUCCCUUGCUGUCACUGGGAUCGAGCAACACAAGAUUGAACCCAAAGCUAAGCACUUCUCCCAUUGCAAGAAAGAUCAAUCUAGUAGGCCAAACCAAACUGAUAAUUGGAAGAGACUUGCAAAUAUAACCAAUCAUACAUAAAAGAAUUCAGAGAAGAUUCAAAUAUUGUUCAUAGAUAAUCUUGAUCAUAAACCCACAAUUCAUCGGAUCUCGACAAACACAACGCAAAAAGAGUUACAUCGAAUAGAUCUCCAAGAAGAUCGAGGAGAACUUUGUAUUGAGAUCCAAAAAGAGAGAAGAAGCCAUCUAGCUAAUAACUAUGGACCCGAAGGUCUGUGGUAAACUACUCACACAUCAUCGGAGAGGCUAAGGUGUUGAUGUAGAGCCCUCCGUGAUCGAUUCCCCCUCCGGCGAAGCGCCAAAAAAGGCCCCAAGAUGGGAUCUCAUGGGUACAGAAGGUUGCGGCGGUGGAAAUAGGGUUUCGUGGUGCUCCUCGAUGGUUUCGGGGUACAUGAGUAUAUAUAGGAGGAAGAAGUAGGUCGGUGGAGCCACGAGGGGCCCAUGAGGGUGGGGGCCGUGCCCAGGGGGGUAGGCGCGCCUCCCUGCCUCGUGGCCUCCUCGUUGAUUUCUUGACGUCCACUCCAAGUCCUCUGGAUCACGUCUGUUCCAAAAAUCAUGCUCCCGAAGGUUUCAUUCCGUUUGGACUCCGGUUGGUAUUCCUUUUCUGCGAAACACUGAAAUAGGCAAAAAAACAACAAUUUGCACUGGGCCUUGGGUUAGUAGGUUAGUCCCAAAAAUAAUAUAAAAGUGUAUAAUAAAGCCCAUUAAACAUCCAAAAUAGAAUAUAUAAAAGCAUGGAGCAAUAAAAAAUUAUAGAUACGUUGGAGACGUAUCAAGCAUCCCCAAGCUUAAUUCCUACUCGUCCUCGAGUAGGUAAAUGAUAAAAACAGAAUUUUUGAUGUGGAAUGCUACUUAGCAUAUUCUUCAAUGUAAUUUUCUUUAUUGUGGCAUGAAUGUUCAGAUCCGAAAGAUUCAAGAUAAAAGUUUAAUAUUGACAUAAAAAUAAUAAUACUUCAAGCAUACUAACUAAGCAAUCAUGUCUUCUCAAAAUAACAUGGCCAUAGAAAGUUCAUCCCUACAAAAUCAUAUAGUUUGGUCAUGCUCCAUUUUCGUCACACAAGAUGCUCUCAUCUUGCACAACCCCGAUGACAAGCCAAGCAAUUGUUUCAUACUUUAGUAAUCUCAAACUUUUUUCAACUUUCACGCAAUACAUGAGCGUGAGCCAUGGAUAUAGCACUAUGGGUGGAAUAGAAUAUAAUGAUGGGGGUUGUGUGGAGAAGACAAAAAAAGGAGAAAGUCUCACAUUGACGCGGCUAAUCAAUGGGCCAGGGAGAUGCCCAUCAAUUGAUGUCAAUGCAAUGAGUAGGAUUGGCAUGCAACGGAUGCACUAGAGCUAUAAAUGUAUGAAAGCUCAACAAAAGAAACUAAGUGGGUGCAUCCAACUUGCUUGCUCACGAAGACCUAGGGCAUUUGAGGAAGCCCAUUGUUGGAAUAUACAAGCCAAGUUCUAUAAUGAAAAAUUCCCACUAGUAUAUGAAAGUGAUAUCAUAGGAGACUCUCCCUCAUAAAGAUCAUGGUGCUACUUUGAAGCACAAGUGUGGAAAAAGGAUAGUAGCAUUGUCCCUUUUUUUCUUUCUUUUUUUCUUUUUUGGGCCUUUCUUUUUUUAUUUUGCCUUUCUAUUUUUUUAUUUGGGACAAUGCUCUAUUAAUGAUGAUCAUCACACUUCUAUUUAUUUACAACUCGAUACUAGAACAAAAUAUGACUCUAUAUGAAUGCCUCCGGCGGUGUACUGGGAUGGGCAAUGAAUCAAGAGUGACAUGUAUGAAAUAAUAAGCAUGGUGGCUUUGCCACAAAUACGAUGUCAACUACAUGAUCAUGCAAGGCAGUAUGACAAUGAUGAAGCGCGUCAUAAUAAACGGAACGGUGGAAAGUUGGAUGGCAAUAUAUCUCGGAAUGGCUAUGGAAAUGCUAUAAUAGGUAGGUAUGGUGGCUGUUUUGAGGAAAAUAUAAGGAGGUUUAUGUGUGAUAGAGCGUAUCGUAUCACGGGGUUUGGAUGCACACGCGAAGUUUGCACCAACUCUCAAGGUGAGAAAGGGCAAUGCACGGUACCGAAGAGGCUAGCAAUGAUGGAAGGUUGAGAGUGCGUAUAAUCCAUGGACUCAACAUUAGUCAUAAAGAACUCACAUACUUAUUGCAAAAAUCUACAAGCCAUCAAAAACCAAGCACUACGCGCAUGCUCCUAGGGGGAUAGAUUGGUAGGAAAAGACCAUCGCUCGUCCCCGACCGCCACUCAUAAGGAUGACAAUCAAAGAACACCUCAUGUUUUAAAUUUGUUACACAACGUUUACCAUACGUGCAUGCUACGGGACUUGCAAACUUCAACACAAGUAUUUAUCAAAUUCACAACUNNNNNNNNNNNNNNNNNNNNNNNNNNNNNNNNNNNNNNNNNNNNNNNNNNNNNNNNNNNNNNNNNNNNNNNNNNNNNNNNNNNNNNNNNNNNNNNNNNNNCAAGAUUGAACUUUUGUGUCUCCUUAAUUCCUCUCAUAUCAUGGUUUCUCUUUUUAUCAAAAGCUUUAUCCACACCAAACUCAACAAGAACUCGUGAGAUAGGUUAACCAAUGCAAAACCUUAUCAUUUUCUACUGUAACAAAUCACUAACAUUAUUAUUCAACAUUUCAUACUAAAUGUCUCUGCAUAUUUAAUACUCCUAUCCUCAAAUAGAAUCAUUAAACAAGCAAACAUACGCAAACACUGCAACCAUAACAGCAAUCUGCCAAAACAGUACAGUCUGUAAAGAAUGCAAGAGUAUCAAUACUUCCCUAACUCCAAAAAUUAUGAAAUAACAUUCCCACUGUAGUAAAUUUAUCAUAGCUCAUUAUGCAAAAAGUUUCAACAUUAUAUCAUGCUCUGACUUUUCUAGAGAAUUUUUGCAACAGCGGUAAACUUUCUGUUUUCAAACAGCAACAUGUAUACUAGCAAAAUAAGCAUGGUAAAGGCUAUCCUUGACAUUUUUAUUGAAACUAAAGAUGAAAACCAUUAUUCUAAAUAACAUCAAGCAAAUACUAACAAGAUAAAAUGACGCUCCAAGCAAAACACAUAUCAUGUGGCGAAUAAAAAUAUAGCUCCAAGUAAAGUUACCGAUGAAUGAAGACGAAAGAGGGGAUGCCAUCCGGGGCAUCCCCAAGCUUAGGCUUUUGGUCGUCCUUGAAUAUUACCUUGGGGUGCCUUGGGCAUCCCCAAUCUUAGGCUCUUGCCACUCCUUAUUCCAUAGUCCAUCGAUUCUUUACCCAAAACUUGAAAACUCCACAACACAAAACUCAACAGAAAACUCGUAAGCUCCGUUAGUAUAAGAAAAUAAAACAACCACUUAGGUACUGUAAUGAACUCAUUAUAAAUUCAUAUUGGUGUAAUAUAUACUGUAUUCCAACUGCUCUAUGGUUCAUACCCUCCGAUACUACUAAAAAAUUCAUCAAAAUAAGCAAACAACACAUAGAAAACAGAAUAUGUCAAAAACAGAACAGUCUUUAGUAAUCUGUAUCAAACGUAUACUUAUGGGACUCCAAAACACCUACCAAUUUAGGAAGACCUAAGAAAUUUGUGUACCAAUCCAGAGCAAAAAGAAUCAGAUCAAGAGCACGUUUCUGUGAAUUAACAAAACUAAUUUACUGGGUGCAAAAGUUUCUGAUUUUCAGCAGGAUCAACACAACUAUCACCGUAAGCUCUCCUAAAGGUCUUACUUGGCAUUUAUUGAAAUAAAAUCUAUAAAACAUGAUUACUACAGUAGCAUAAUCAUGUGGACACACAGAAACAGUACAGAUAAAUAUUGGGUUGUCUCCCAACAAGCGCUUUUCUUGAAUGCCUUUCUGGCUAGGCAUGAUGAUGACAAUGAUGCUCACAUAAAAGAUAAGAAUUGAAACAUAGUGGGAGCAUCAUGAAGCAUAUGACUAGCACAUUUAAGUCUAACCCACUUCCUAUGCAUAGGGAUUUUGUGACCAAACAACUUAUGGGAACAAUAAUCAACUAUCAUAGGAAGGUAAAACAAGCAUAACUUCAAGAUUUUAAGCGCAUAGAGAGAAAACUUGAUAUCAUUGCAAUUCCUACAAGCAUAUGUUCCUCCCUCAUAAUAAUUUUCAGUAGCAUCAUGAAUGAAUUCAAAAAUAUAACCAGCACCUAAAGAAUUCUUUUCAUGAUCUACUAGCAUAUAAAAUUUACUAAUCUCCACAUAAGCAAAAUUCUCCUCAUUCGGAAUAGCAGGAGUAUCAUAAGAGACUUGAAUACUAAAAAUUGUUUCCAUAUUAAAAGAGUAAUGUUCAGAAAAAAGGGUAAUCAUAAUUAUGACAAGAUUUACAAAUAUAAUUAUCACUACUUUUUAUAGCAUAAGUUUCAUCACAAUAAUCAUCAUAAGUAGCAACUUUGUUCUCAUCAUAAUCGAUUGAAACCUCUUCCAAGAUAGUGGAAUCAUCACUAAAUAAAGUUGACACUCUUCCAAAUCCAGUUUCAUAUUCAUCACAAUAAGAUUCAACAUCCUCCAAAAUAGUGGGAUAACUACUUCUUAAAGUUGUCACUCUUCCAAAACCACUUUCAUCAAUAUAAUCAUCAUAGGUAAGAGGCAUGCUAUCAUCAUAACAACUUUGCAUAUCAAAACUUGGGAUGCUAAAAAUAUCAUCUUCAUUAAACAUAGCAUCCCCAAGCUUGGGACAAACAUUAAUUUCAGCAAAUAUAUUCUAAAAUAUGUCAUCCUCAUCAAACAUAACUUCCCCAAGCUUGGGCUUUUUCAUAUCAUAAGCAUAAUCACUCUCAUCAUUAAUAGUAUGGAUAGCACCAAUAGUAUAGCAAUUAUCAUCAUCACAAUGAGUAGUAGGAGCAACAUCAUUUGGAAGGGAUACCUUUUUACCUUUGUUGCCCUUUCUUUUCCUUUUCUUUUUCACAUUAUGUGUGGGUUCAACCUUCCUCUUUGAGCUCCUUAUUGACAAGAUUGGUUGGAUAGAAAGCUCCUCCUCGUUACCUGAUUCGUCAUAAGAAAUAAUAGGAGGAUAUUGGGAAGUCUCUUCCCUUUCAUUAGUAUUCUCAUCAUCUUCUAUUUGCUUUAUUUUCUUUAUGUAAUUGGAAAUAUAGGGAUUUUCAAUGCAAUUCACCGCACGAAACAUAUAAAUCUUCUCUAGAUCAAAAUCAAGAAAUCUAUCAAGAUUAAAUUUUGGAAUACCCUCAUUUAUACGUUUCAUUUCUUCAUACCCCAAAAGAAGGCUAAGCUCUUUAUGAUGCCCAAGGGUAAUCAAAGCUAUCACAAUUUUUGGACACAAUUCGGUCAUGAAACAAUUUGCAUUGGAGAUUUAAAUGACCACGUUCAUUGCAAAGUUCACAAGGAGCACAAAAAAUAUUGAAUCUUUCAGCACAAUCAUCAAGUCUUUCUUGCAACAAUUUAGUUUCUAAAUACUUAUGCCUCUUGCAAUAUAUAUCUUCUCAAUUUGGUGCAUUCAUGCAAACAUGCACUCCACAGAAGUUGACAUGCUCAUAAGAGAUAUUUUCAUCAUGACUAGAGCAAUCAUCAUUAGUACUAUGGAUAUUCAAGGAGUUUAUACUAACAACAUUGCAAUCAUGCUCAUCAUUCAAAGAUUCAGUACCAAGCAUUUUAAUGCACUCUUCUUCUAGCACUUGAGCACAAUUUUCCUUUCCAUCAAACUCACGAAAGAUAUUAAAAAGAUGAAGCGUNNNNNNNNNNNNNNNNNNNNNNNNNNNNNNNNNNNNNNNNNNNNNNNNNNNNNNNNNNNNNNNNNNNNNNNNNNNNNNNNNNNNNNNNNNNNNNNNNNNNCUGAUUUAGGGUUUAGGGUUCAUCAAAACCUCCCGCCGCAGCGCCUCCUCUACGGACUAGCGCAUGAUUUAGAGAACUAGCGUUGCUUUGGGCAUGAUGAAGUGUACUAAACCUAACACAUGAUGUUUUGCAGUUCUGUGAGUUAGGCGUGUUGACAUGGACGAAGAAUCCGCAUUCGGGAGGGAUGAGAAUGAUGCUGAUAAGGUGACUAAGACUGAUAACGAUAAUUUGAAUGAAGAUGAUGACAGCAGCGACAACGAUUCCGUCUCGUCAUAUGAUAUCUUACCUCCGGAGGAUUUUGAUAAUAAUGAACAUGGCACACAUAGUGAAAAUGUAAGUGGCGUAUAUUUUGAUUUUAUUUUUUAAUUUGCAAAGUAUGUCAUGGCUAACUAUAUACCUUUGUGUAAAAAUUUGCAUGAAGAUGUGGAUGUUGACAAUGUGCAAAAUAGUUUCUAGGAAUCAUUUGCAGAUAACUUGAGCCAGGUUAGUUGAUAGAUGUUGUACAUCGAUCAAUAGUAUGAAUUAAAUCUUAUAUCUUAUCUUAUAUCUUAUAUCUUAUAUCUUAUCUUAUAUUUAUAUUUACUAAUUGGAGGCACCAUACGAGACACCACGCUAAUCCUUGAAAUUAACGAAUUUCAACCAUCGGAUGAAUAUAUGAUGUGUAUGUAGCCCUUGGAUGAAAUAAGAGACCCGCUCUUCUGUCCCACGUAAUUAUGUGAAUCGUCCUCCUCUUGGUCUCUCUCCCUUUCUCUAGAAAAAACUGAGUGUCGUCUCAAUAUUGAUCUAUAUGUAGCCCUGAGAUGGAAUAAGAGACCUGCUCUUCUAUCCCACGUACGUAUGUGAAUCAUCCUCCUCUUGGUCUCUCACCCUUUUAUCUACAAAAAAGAAAAACUCAGCGUCAUCUCCUCAUAGAUUUGACGAACAGAUACUCCCCAUCUUCUAUCUCCGUUUCCCUUGAAAAAAAAAUCGCGACUUGCAUCCAAUUGAAUCAGGCAGCGCAUGAUGGGAAAGCCUCCUCUUCCUUCCACGGGCUAUCUGCUGCAUCAUAUAGAUUGUGCGGCUGUGCAGGUCCACCAAAAUUCACAAGUAGCAGCAAUGGCCGAAGUUUGUAUUAGUCACGUCAGAUUUGAUCAGUAGUAGCGUUGGCGAGAACCAUGUACUCUCUUUGAAAUCAAGUUUCGUUGGCUCAGGUAAACAACACAAUCUUUUCUUUCCCGUCUGAUCCAUGUGCCAUUAAGCUGUAAGAGCAUUGGUCGUCGAGAAAAUUUUAAGGGACCUCCUAGGUUUCGUUUUGAUGUAGAAUAAAUAUUGUUUCUACCUCCUCCCGUAAUCUACUAGGCCCUAUGUUGUUUCAACAGAAGAAUCCAAAGCCGAAGCCUAGGUCUGUUCUCCUGAGAAAUACGCAUAUCCUUGCCGUAAAAAGAACCCAUCAUGUGGGCGAUCUUCUCAUCACACUCCUUUUGCAUGGCCGUCCUUUGACUCCUCUCAAGCUGCAAAGAUGAAGAUGGGCGGGGGAAACAUGAUGGAGGCCUGUUGCCUCACGUGUUCUCCUGCUGAGGAAGAAACAUGGCCAAGUGCUGAUGGAUGCAAUGCACAUCUCAAAUUAUAAUGUCUACCACACACUAUAUCAAUUAGGAGAUGAGAAGGAAAAGCGUUUGGGCCUGGUGUGGCGUCGUAGUCGGCCACGCCAUGAAGCAUCUGUCGGUCCAGCAUGUGAUUAGACUCAGCUGUCGAAUGCUCUGGCUUGGUCUAAUUAUAAUUUAACAUAUUUCCUAUUUAGAUAUUACAGUUUUCUUUGAGCUGAUUUAGAUCUUACUUAAUGAUGCAUACGUACGAAUGAGGAUAGUUGAAAGAAAGGGACGUUGUGGGUGUAGGCUGCCAGAAAAAAAUCAAUCACAGUCGUUCAAUCCGAAGGAACAGGCAAGCCACGUUCCAAUCUGUGAUAUACCCAUUAAAGCGUCGAUUGCUUGAUUUCAUUCAGCAUAGUCAAUAUGUCCUUACAUAUUCUGUGAUAAACUACAGACACCAGCAUGUACAGCCCUUAAACAAAUUGCAUAAUACAUCCAUAUUCGGUAAUAACAUGCACAUAGCAACAUUUAUGUCCCUCAAGCUAAUUGAUCUACUCAUGUAACUGCAUUCAGAACCGAGAAACUGUUACCUCUCAAAACAUGCAUACUCUUUUUCUGCUACUAUUAUAGCUAUCACAUAUUAGCAGUUGUGAGCAUGCGCCAUUGAAUAAAUUAACAUUGUAAUUACUAAUCCAUUGCACAAUAGUAAAUGUAUAUUUAUGAAGAUGUACACCGUAUAUCCCCCUCAGGGCAUCUCCAGCCGUUGGCCCCCCAGGAGGGGCAAAAAAUCGCCCCCUGGGGGCGCACCGGCGCUAACGGCGCACUGGAGGCGUGAUGUCCCCCAGUCGCGGCGCCCACGGUAUUUUAAAAAAUUUAAACACGGCACAAACAUAGCAAACUUCGGCGAGUUCGUUCAAACAUAAACAUAUUUUACAAAAAAAAAA